GAGUUUGAUCAUGGCUCAGAUUGAACGCUGGCGGCAUGCUUUACACAUGCAAGUCGAACGGUCUUCGCAAGGGGACAGUGGCGCACGGGUGAGGAACACGUAGCUGAUCUGCCCAGUCGAGCGGGAUAACGCUCCGAAAGGAGUGCUAAUACCGCAUAAGCUCCCGGGGUUUAGAAGUCCGGGAGAAAAGGGGAAACUCGCGACUGGAGGAGGCUGCGGCCCAUCAGGUAGUUGGUGCGGUAACGGCGCACCAAGCCGACGACGGGUAGGGGACCUGAGAGGGUGAUCCCCCACACUGGGACUGAGACACGGCCCAGACUCCUACGGGAGGCAGCAGUGAGGAAUAUUGCCCAAUGGAGGAAACUCUGAGGCAGCGACGCCGCGUGGGUGAUGAAGGCCUUCGGGUCGUAAAGCCCUUUUCUGCGUGACGAGACAAGGACGGUAGCGCAGGAAAAAGUACUCGGCUAACU
rnacentral:rRNA from 1 species